CAGUCGCCGCGGGAAUACGUAGGUCCCGAGCGUUGUCCGGAUUUAUUGGGCGUAAAGCGAGCGCAGGCGGCUUGAUAAGUCUGAAGUUAAAGGCUGUGGCUCAACCAUAGUUCGCUUUGGAAACUGUCAAACUUGAGUGCAGAAGGGGAGAGUGGAAUUCCAUGUGUAGCGGUGAAAUGCGUAGAUAUAUGGAGGAACACCGGUGGCGAAAGCGGCUCUCUGGUCUGUAACUGACGCUGAGGCUCGAAAGCGUGGGGAGCAAAUGGGAUUAGAUACCCGCGUAGUCCCUGUCUCUUAUACC
rnacentral:rRNA from 1 species